GACGAACGCUGGCGGCGUGCUUAACACAUGCAAGUCGAACGGAAAGGCCUGCUUUCCCUUGUGGAUUGCGGGUACUCGAGUGGCGAACGGGUGAGUAACACGUGAGUGAUCUGCCCCCAACUUGGGUAUAAGCCUGGGAAACUGGGUCUAAUUCCCGAUAGGACUGCAGGGUGGUGCCUGUGGUGGAAAACGAUUUUCUAGUGGAUGGGGAUGAGCUCGCGGCCUAUCAGCUUGUUGGUGGGGUAAUGGCCUACCAAGGCGGCGACGGGUAGCCGGCCUGAGAGGGUGGACGGCCACAUUGGGACUGAGAUACGGCCCAGACUCCUACGGGAGGCAGCAGUGGGGAAUAUUGCACAAUGGGCGGAAGCCUGAUGCAGCGACGCCGAGUGGGGGAUGACGGCCUUCGGGUUGUAAACUCCUUUCGACAGCGAGGAAGCCACCUGGUUGGAAGGGUGGUGACGGUAGUGGUAGAAGAAGCACCGGCUAACUACGUG
rnacentral:rRNA from 1 species